rnacentral:rRNA from 1 species
AUGAACGCUGGCGGCGUGCCUCAUACAUGCAAGUCGAGCGAACAGACGAGGAGCUUGCUCCUCUGACGUUAGCGGCGGACGGGUGAGUAACACGUGGAUAACCUACCUAUAAGACUGGGAUAACUUCGGGAAACCGGAGCUAAUACCGGAUAAUAUAUUGAACCGCAUGGUUCAAUAGUGAAAGACGGUUUUGCUGUCACUUAUAGAUGGAUCCGCGCCGCAUUAGCUAGUUGGUAAGGUAACGGCUUACCAAGGCAACGAUGCGUAGCCGACCUGAGAGGGUGAUCGGCCACACUGGAACUGAGACACGGUCCAGACUCCUACGGGAGGCAGCAGUAGGGAAUCUUCCGCAAUGGGCGAAAGCUUGACGGAGCAACGCCGCGUGAGUGAUGAAGGUCUUCGGAUCGUAAAACUCUGUUAUUAGGGAAGAACAAAUGUGUAAGUAACUAUGCACGUCUUGACGGUACCUAAGCAGAAAGCCACGGCUAACUACGU